CCUACGGGUGGCUGCAGUGAGGAAUAUUGGUCAAUGGCCGGAAGGCUGAACCAGCCAAGCCGCGUGAAGGACGAAGGUGCCAAGCAUUGUAAACUUCUUUUGUCAAGGAACAAAAUCAGGCUCGAGAGCCUGACCGCGGGUACUUGCAGAAAAAGCAUCGGCUAACUCCGUGCCAGCAGCCGCGGUAAUACGGGGGAUGCGAGCGUUAUCCGGAUUUAUUGGGGUUAAGGGGUGCGUAGGUGGACUGUUAAGUCAGAGGGAAAAGCCCGGGGCUCAACCCCGGCGAGCCUUUGAAACUGGUUGGCUUGAGAUGUCGAGAGGUAAGCGGAAUGCGCAGUGUAGCGGUGAAAUGCUUAGAUAUUGGGCAGAACUCCGAUUGCGAAGGCAGCAUACCGGCGGCGAUCUGACGCUGAGGCACGAAAGCGUGGGUAUCGAACAGGAUUAGAUACCCUUGUAGUC
rnacentral:rRNA from 1 species